GUGCACGCUGGCGGUAGGCCUAACACAUGCCAGUCGAACGGCAGCACGGUAAGAGCUUGCUCUUACGGGUGGCGAGUGGCGGACGGGUGAGGAAUACAUCGGAAUCUACUUUUUCGUGGGGGAUAACGUGGGGAAACUUACGCUAAUACCGCAUACGACCUACGGGUGAAAGCAGGGGAUCUUCGGACCUUGCGCGAUUGAAUGAGCCGAUGUCGGAUUAGCUAGUUGGCGGGGUAAAGGCCCACCAAGGCGACGAUCCGUAGCUGGUCUGAGAGGAUGAUCAGCCACACUGGAACUGAGACACGGUCCAGACUCCUACGGGAGGCAGCAGUGGGGAAUAUUGGACAAUGGGCGCAAGCCUGAUCCAGCCAUACCGCGUGGGUGAAGAAGGCCUUCGGGUUGUAAAGCCCUUUUGUUGGGAAAGAAAAGCAGCAGGUUAAUACCCCGCUGUUCUGACGGUACCCAAAGAAUAAGCACCGGCUAACUUCGUG
rnacentral:rRNA from 1 species